rnacentral:tRNA from 1 species
GGGCCGUUAGUUCAUCGGUAGAACGUCCGAUUCACAUUCGGAAGGCGGUAGGUCCGACUCCUACACGGCCCACAA